rnacentral:misc_RNA from 1 species
GUCACUAAGAAAUGGCAACUUCGAUGCUCGGUUUUAGUGCGCGUUAUCUAGCUUACUUUGCUAACAAGUUUCAAAAAAGAAUGCUAAGAAUGUUUCUUAGGAGUUUCCCAGGACAUGCAGUACCCGGGAAAAUUUUAAAGUUUGGUACAGUAAACAUGUGUCUUGUAGCCCUUUGUACCAACAUUUCUGAAGAGCAAAAAGAUGAAAAAGAUGUUUCUGGAAGCAGUUUGAACCCUCUUUCUCACGAAUUCCUUAUUAAACAAGCGUGUGUGUGUAUGGUAGAGUCAGCAACCUGUGUGGUUACACAUGUGACACAAGCCAUUCUUGAUGGUCAAGAAGAAUACAUACAGGCAUUGGAGAAGCUGUUAACUUUGAUGGAAUACAAUAUUGGAGCUCCUGUUAACCCAGUAAUAGAAGAUGAUAUCUGGCAGGAUAUUAUUGCAGCCAGAUCUGAAGUUCAUGAGAAGAACAAAAAACUUAUUGACCUUCAGAGCAAGAUGAUGUCUGUGGAAAAUCUUAUCAACUCAGCCGCAGAGACUGCUUUUAAUGCUGGUGCAGAGUAUGCUGGUAUUGUAGCCAAUGAACACCUCCUUUCUGCCAAGCAACAAAUCAAGUUAUCAGAGUCAAAACUCAGGGAUCUUGAAGCUGAAGUGUUGCGACUUAAGAAACAGGCUGUUAGUGAAACUUCUAGUGUUUACCAAACAGAUAGUAACAAUAAUGUGAGUGAAUGACUGACAGAUCUUAAGGGAAAUAAUAAUUUAAAGGAAUGAGAAACUAGCUUUAUAAGUUUUUUUAGUAAAUGCAUUACUUAAGAAACAGUGCAGUGUGGCUUAGAUCAUACUUAUGUUAAAUAAUAGUUUUUGUUUUUACAAACUGGCCAUAUCUAAGGAGAAUACGUCAAGAGAAUUGUAUAUAUAAAAUGAACAAAAUAUGUAAAAAAGAACCUGAAAGUAUAAUAAACUUGAAAUUCCUGUUGUU